rnacentral:rRNA from 1 species
UACGGGGGGGGCAAGCGUUGUUCGGAAUUACUGGGCGUAAAGGGCUCGUAGGUGGCCAACUAAGUCAGACGUGAAAUCCCCAGGCUUAACCUGGGAACUGCGUCUGAUACUGGAUGGCUUGAAUUCGGGAGAGGGAUGCAGAAUUCCAGGUGUAGCGGUGAAAUGCGUAGAUAUCUGGAGGAAUACCGGUGGCGAAGGCGGCAUCCUGGACCAAGAUUGACACUGAUGAGCGAAAGCUAGGGGAGCAAACGGG